AAGUAAUUUAUUUAUUUAAGGUUUUAGUAUUAAUUAAAAAUUAAUUUAUAGAUUUAUAGUUUAAUAGUAUUGUGAAAGAAUUAAUUAAUUUUAUAAAAGAAUUUUUUUUAGUACCUUUUGUAUCAGGGUUGAUUAAAAUUUUUAAUUUUUUUUUAAUUUCUCAAAUUUAUAGAGUUAAUUUUAUUAUUAAUUUAUUGUGUUAUAAAUAUUUAUAAAAUAAUAUUAGUUUUGAAAUUUAAUUCGUUAUAUUAUAUUUAGUUAUUUAAGAUUUAAAUUUAAUUUAAAAUUUUAAAAGUUAUAUUGAUUUUGUUGAUUUAUAUUUUAAAUUUAAAUUAUUUUAAGGAUAAGCUUGAAAUUUUAAUAUAAUAAUUUAUUUAUGUUAAUAAUUUAUAGGAAUAGAAAUUUUUAUUUUAAGUUUGUAAAAAUUUAUUAUUUAUUUAGUUUUAAUUUAUUAUAAUUUUAUUUAUUUUUUUUAUUAAAUUUUAUUAAUUAAUAUUUUAUUAAUAGUAAUAAUGAUUAAAUUAGUAUAAUUAAUAUUUAUAAAUUAUGAAUUCGGCAAAAAUUAUUUUCAUCUGUUUAACAAAAACAUUGUAUUAAGUUUAAUUUAAUAUAGGAUCUGCUCAAUGAUUUAUUAAAUAGCUGCAGUAUUUUGACUGUGCAAAGGUAGCAUAAUAAUUAGUCUUUUAAUUGGGGACUUGUAUGAAAGAUUUGAUGAGAAAUAAACUUUAUUAUUUAUAUAAUUAAAAUUUUAUUUUUAAGUAAAAAAGCUUAAAUUUUUUAAAGGGACGAUAAGACCCUAUAAAACUUUAUAAAUGAUAUAAUUGAUUUUUUUGGAUUUAUAAAUAUUUUAUUUUUAUUUUUUAUUUUAUUGGGGUGAUAAAAAAAAUUAAUUAACUUUUUUUAAAUUUUAACAUUAUUUAAUGAUUAUUUGAAUUAAAAUUUUUAAUUAAAGGAAAAAGUUACUUUAGGGAUAACAGCGUAAUUAGUUUUUUAAGUUCAAAUUUAAAAAUUAGUUUGCGACCUCGAUGUUGAAUUAAGAUUAAUCUUAGGUGCAAAAUUUUAAGUAUUAGGUCUGUUCGACCUUUA
rnacentral:rRNA from 1 species